GAUGAACGCUGACAGAAUGCUUAACACAUGCAAGUCAACUUGAACUUCGGUUUGGGUGGCGGACGGGUGAGUAACGCGUAAAGAACUUGCCUCACAGCUAGGGACAACAUUUGGAAACGAAUGCUAAUACCUGAUAUUAUGAUUAUAUGGCAUCGUAUAAUUAUGAAAGCUAUAUGCGCUGUGAGAGAGCUUUGCGUCCCAUUAGCUAGUUGGAGAGGUAACAGCUCACCAAGGCGAUGAUGGGUAGCCGGCCUGAGAGGGUGAUCGGCCACAAGGGGACUGAGACACGGCCCUUACUCCUACGGGAGGCAGCAGUGGGGAAUAUUGGACAAUGGACCGAGAGUCUGAUCCAGCAAUUCUGUGUGCACGAUGAAGUUUUUCGGAAUGAAAAGUGCUUUCAGUUGGGAAGAAAAAAAUGACGGUACCAACAGAAGAAGUGACGGCUAAAUACGUG
rnacentral:rRNA from 1 species